UGCGAAUGCUGACAUAAGUAACGAUAAAGCGGGUGAAAAGCCCGCUCGCCGGAAGACCAAGGGUUCCUGUCCAACGUUAAUCGGGGCAGGGUGAGUCGACCCCUAAGGCGAGGCCGAAAGGCGUAGUCGAUGGGAAACGGGUUAAUAUUCCCGUACUUGGUGUUACUGCGAAGGGGGGACGGAGAAGGCUAUGUUGGCCGGGCGACGGUUGUCCCGGUUUAAGCGUGUAGGUGUGUGUUCCAGGUAAAUCCGGUUCACUUUAACACUGAGGCGUGACGACGAGGCACUACGGUGCUGAAGCAACAAAUGCCCUGCUUCCAGGAAAAGCCUCUAAGCAUCAGGUAACAUCAAAUCGUACCCCAAACCGACACAGGUGGUCAGGUAGAGAAUACCAAGGCGCUUGAGAGAACUCGGGUGAAGGAACUAGGCAAAAUGGUGCCGUAACUUCGGGAGAAGGCACGCUGACACGUAGGUGAAGUGAUUUACUCAUGGAGCUGAAGUCAGUCGAAGAUACCAGCUGGCUGCAACUGUUUAUUAAAAACACAGCACUGUGCAAACACGAAAGUGGACGUAUACGGUGUGACGCCUGCCCGGUGCCGGAAGGUUAAUUGAUGGGGUCAGCGCAAGCGAAGCUCCUGAUCGAAGCCCCGGUAAACGGCGGCCGUAACUAUAACGGUCCUAAGGUAGCGAAAUUCCUUGUCGGGUAAGUUCCGACCUGCACGAAUGGCGUAAUGAUGGCCAGGCUGUCUCCACCCGAGACUCAGUGAAAUUGAACUCGCUGUGAAGAUGCAGUGUACCCGCGGCAAGACGGAAAGACCCCGUGAACCUUUACUAUAGCUUGACACUGAACAUUGAGCCUUGAUGUGUAGGAUAGGUGGGAGGCUUUGAAGUGUGGACGCCAGUCUGCAUGGAGCCGACCUUGAAAUACCACCCUUUAAUGUUUGAUGUUCUAACGUGGACCCGUAAUCCGGGUUGCGGACAGUGUCUGGUGGGUAGUUUGACUGGGGCGGUCUCCUCCUAAAGAGUAACGGAGGAGCACGAAGGUUGGCUAAUCCUGGUCGGACAUCAGGAGGUUAGUGCAAUGGCAUAAGCCAGCUUGACUGCGAGCGUGACGGCGCGAGCAGGUGCGAAAGCAGGUCAUAGUGAUCCGGUGGUUCUGAAUGGAAGGGCCAUCGCUCAACGGAUAAAAGGUACUCCGGGGAUAACAGGCUGAUACCGCCCAAGAGUUCAUAUCGACGGCGGUGUUUGGCACCUCGAUGUCGGCUCAUCACAUCCUGGGGCUGAAGUAGGUCCCAAGGGUAUGGCUGUUCGCCAUUUAAAGUGGUACGCGAGCUGGGUUUAGAACGUCGUGAGACAGUUCGGUCCCUAUCUGCCGUGGGCGCUGGAGAACUGAGGGGGGCUGCUCCUAGUACGAGAGGACCGGAGUGGACGCAUCACUGGUGUUCGGGUUGUCAUGCCAAUGGCACUGCCCGGUAGCUAAAUGCGGAAGAGAUAAGUGCUGAAAGCAUCUAAGCACGAAACUUGCCCCGAGAUGAGUUCUCCCUGAGACUUAGAGUCUCCUGAAGGAACGUUGAAGACGACGACGUUGAUAGGCCGGGUGUGUAAGCGCAGCGAUGCGU
rnacentral:rRNA from 1 species